rnacentral:rRNA from 1 species
GACGUAGGGCGCGAGCGUUGUCCGGAUUUAUUGGGCGUAAAGAGCUUGUAGGCGGUUUGUCGCGUCUGCCGUGAAAUUCCGAGGCUCAACCUCGAACUUGCGGUGGGUACGGGCAGACUAGAGUGUGGUAGGGGAGACUGGAAUUCCUGGUGUAGCGGUGAAAUGCGCAGAUAUCAGGAGGAACACCGAUGGCGAAGGCAGGUCUCUGGGCCACUACUGACGCUGAGGAGCGAAAGCGUGGGGAGCGAACAGG